GACGAACCGUGCGAACGUUAUUCGGAAUCACUGGGCUUAAAGCGCGUGUAGGCGGGGCGGCACGUCGGUCGCUGAAAGCCCCCGGCUCAACCGGGGAAGGGGCACCGAUACGACCGCCCUGGAGGGACGUAGGGGGACCUGGAACUUCCGGUGGAGCGGUGAAAUGCGUUGAGAUCGGAAGGAACGCCCGUGGCGAAAGCGAGGUCCUGGACGUCUGCUGACGCUGAGACGCGAAAGCCAGGGGAGCGAACGGG
rnacentral:rRNA from 1 species